CCUGCCGGGGGUCCUGGCCCUGACCCGGGUCCGGACCCUGCUCCAGCGCGUACUGCUCGGGCAGUGGCC
rnacentral:miRNA from 1 species